rnacentral:rRNA from 1 species
GUCGAAAAUGUUGUCUCUCUUGAGUGGAUCCUGAGUACGACGGAGCACGUGAAAUUCCGUCGGAAUCUGGGAGGACCAUCUCCUAAGGCUAAAUACUCUCUAGUGACCGAUAGUGAACCAGUACCGUGAGGGAAAGGUGAAAAGCACCCCGGAAGGGGAGUGAAAUAGAACCUGAAACCGUGUGCUUACAAGUAGUCAGAGCCCGUUAAUGGGUGAUGGCGUGCCUUUUGUAGAAUGAACCGGCGAGUUACGAUUUGAUGCAAGGUUAAGCAGUAAAUGUGGAGCCGUAGCGAAAGCGAGUCUGAAUAGGGCGUUUAGUAUUUGGUCGUAGACCCGAAACCAGGUGAUCUACCCUUGGUCAGGUUGAAGUUCAGGUAACACUGAAUGGAGGACCGAACCGACUUACGUUGAAAAGUGAGCGGAUGAACUGAGGGUAGCGGAGAAAUUCCAAUCGAACCUGGAGAUAGCUGGUUCUCUCCGAAAUAGCUUUAGGGCUAGCCUCAAGUGAUGAUUAUUGGAGGUAGAGCACUGUUUGGACGAGGGGCCCCUCUCGGGUUACCGAAUUCAGACAAACUCCGAAUGCCAAUUAAUUUAACUUGGGAGUCAGAACAUGGGUGAUAAGGUCCGUGUUCGAAAGGGAAACAGCCCAGACCACCAGCUAAGGUCCCAAAAUAUAUGUUAAGUGGAAAAGGAUGUGGCGUUGCCCAGACAACUAGGAUGUUGGCUUAGAAGCAGCCAUCAUUUAAAGAGUGCGUAAUAGCUCACUAGUCGAGUGACACUGCGCCGAAAAUGUACCGGGGCUAAACAUAUUACCGAAGCUGUGGAUUGUCCUUUGGACAAUGGUAGGAGAGCGUUCUAAGGGCGUUGAAGCAUGAUCGUAAGGACAUGUGGAGCGCUUAGAAGUGAGAAUGCCGGUGUGAGUAGCGAAAGACGGGUGAGAAUCCCGUCCACCGAUUGACUAAGGUUUCCAGAGGAAGGCUCGUCCGCUCUGGGUUAGUCGGGUCCUAAGCUGAGGCCGACAGGCGUAGGCGAUGGAUAACAGGUUGAUAUUCCUGUACCACCUAUAAUCGUUUUAAUCGAUGGGGGGACGCAGUAGGAUAGGCGAAGCGUGCGAUUGGAUUGCACGUCUAAGCAGUAAGGCUGAGUAUUAGGCAAAUCCGGUACUCAUUAAGGCUGAGCUGUGAUGGGGAGAAGACAUUGUGUCUUCGAGUCGUUGAUUUCACACUGCCGAGAAAAGCCUCUAGAUAGAAAAUAGGUGCCCGUACCGCAAACCGACACAGGUAGUCAAGAUGAGAAUUCUAAGGUGAGCGAGCGAACUCUCGUUAAGGAACUCGGCAAAAUGACCCCGUAACUUCGGGAGAAGGGGUGCUCUUUAGGGUUAACGCCCAGAAGAGCCGCAGUGAAUAGGCCCAAGCGACUGUUUAUCAAAAACACAGGUCUCUGCUAAACCGUAAGGUGAUGUAUAGGGGCUGACGCCUGCCCGGUGCUGGAAGGUUAAGAGGAGUGGUUAGCUUCUGCGAAGCUACGAAUCGAAGCCCCAGUAAACGGCGGCCGUAACUAUAACGGUCCUAAGGUAGCGAAAUUCCUUGUCGGGUAAGUUCCGACCCGCACGAAAGGCGUAACGAUUUGGGCACUGUCUCAACGAGAGACUCGGUGAAAUCAUAGUACCUGUGAAGAUGCAGGUUACCCGCGACAGGACGGAAAGACCCCGUGGAGCUUUACUGUAGCCUGAUAUUGAAAUUCGGCACAGCUUGUACAGGAUAGGUAGGAGCCUUUGAAACGUGAGCGCUAGCUUACGUGGAGGCGCUGGUGGGAUACUACCCUAGCUGUGUUGGCUUUCUAACCCGCACCACUUAUCGUGGUGGGAGACAGUGUCAGGCGGGCAGUUUGACUGGGGCGGUCGCCUCCUAAAAGGUAACGGAGGCGCUCAAAGGUUCCCUCAGAAUGGUUGGAAAUCAUUCAUAGAGUGUAAAGGCAUAAGGGAGCUUGACUGCGAGACCUACAAGUCGAGCAGGGUCGAAAGACGGACUUAGUGAUCCGGUGGUUCCGCAUGGAAGGGCCAUCGCUCAACGGAUAAAAGCUACCCCGGGGAUAACAGGCUUAUCUCCCCCAAGAGUUCACAUCGACGGGGAGGUUUGGCACCUCGAUGUCGGCUCAUCGCAUCCUGGGGCUGUAGUCGGUCCCAAGGGUUGGGCUGUUCGCCCAUUAAAGCGGUACGCGAGCUGGGUUCAGAACGUCGUGAGACAGUUCGGUCCCUAUCCGUCGUGGGCGUAGGAAAUUUGAGAGGAGCUGUCCUUAGUACGAGAGGACCGGGAUGGACAUACCUCUGGUGUACCAGUUGUCGUGCCAACGGCAUAGCUGGGUAGCUAUGUGUGGACGGGAUAAGUGCUGAAAGCAUCUAAGCAUGAAGCCCCCCUCAAGAUGAGAUUUCCCAACUUCGGUUAUAAGAUCCCUCAAAGAUGAUGAGGUUAAUAGGUUCGAGGUGGAAGCAUGGUGACAUGUGGAGCUGACGAAUACUAA